AAUGCGAAAGGACACGAGGCACGGGGAAAGAGACUGCAGGAAACACAAGGGGGAUUUUUGCUGUGGGGUUUUCACCCUGCUCUGCUCAGUGUUUAACCAACACAAACAGCAUGGGGCUGCAAAUGACAUGAGGCUGAGCUGUGCAACACCGCUGAGGAGCUCUGGUGAAGGCAGCUGAUGGAUGACCCAGUUUCCCUUGCAGGUCACCAAGAGAGACAGAAAACUGAUGAUAAACUCAGUGCUGCUGGUUCUCAGGUUCAUCUCUGCUGGACAGCACCCCCCUCCAGGAGCCCAAGCUCCCAGGGGGAAAGGAGCCCUCUGCUCCCCAAAGUGCUGCUCCUGGCCAUGAGCAUCCCCACUGCCGGUGCGCUCACACCGCUCCCUGCGGCCCCAGCCCCUCCUGCACAGCACCCGGCCGCAGAGAGGUCCUGGGGCACAACGCCAGCCCCGUCCGAGCAAGGCAGCCAGGAGAGGCUUAGCGCACAGUGCAAUUAAAGAGCCAAACGGAGAUUUUCCCAGCCCAGCCCAUAUCCACACGCCUGGCUCGGGGAGCAUGCCCCAGCCGGAGGGAGCGGACGGUCCCACAGCUGUGCUGGGGCGAGUUGUUCCUGGUAACUGGUUCCAUAGUUUGCUGCAGGAUGUGGGGAUGGAGCUCGCUGCCUGCCUCCUUACAGCGAGCUGAGCGAGGAUUUUGGGAAGGGCUGAGUCUGGAUGCAGCAGGGAGGACACAGCUGGGGACAGCCAUCACCUUGCCAUCACUUCUGCUGCCUGGCCACCUCUCCUCACCUCACCACUGACAGCACGUCCAGCUCCACAUGGCUGCAGGGGACAGAGGCCAUCCUGGACUUUUGGAAGGGCGUCCCUCUGCCCCUGAUGCUCCGUGGCUCAGCCCAGGUGCACCCCAAUCCCCCUGGCACAGACGCACACCCAAGCCCAUGCGAGUGCAGGCUGGCUGCAACGAUGGCAAGAGUUUCCUCGUCUCACAGACUUUUUGUCACCUGUAGAGUACAAAACAAGUUACCGGUAUCAGUAGGGGAACUUCCAGACUGGAACCAGCAGGAAACAGAGGAGGGCAGCAAGGUCCCCGACGGGAACGUGGGCGGCCUCUGGCUUUGGAGAAUUAGAGGGGAAGUCCAGCCCCAGGCACGAGGGGACAGCAGGAGCCCAGGUGAGGGGGCGGAAGACUCUCAAGUGCCAGGGAUUUGAGAAGAAGGCUUGUAAAAAUGCUGGAAGUAAUGAAAGGGGAGAAGAAUGACCGGGAGAACAGAGCAGCGUAUUCCAGGAGGAACAACAUGCCUGCGGAGGAAAGAGAGGAGGAAAUAUGCCAGAGUUCAAUAAAAUCAUGGACAAUUGAGAUGAGGCGAACA
rnacentral:lncRNA from 1 species